UCAGACAACGUCGCUUUGGCCGAGUGGUUAAGGCGUGUGCCUGCUAAGUACAUGGGGUUUCCCCGCGAGAGUUCGAAUCUCUCAGGCGACGUGUAGAUACUUUUUAAUAUUGGGUAAACCAAAAAGCAAUGGAAAAACACCAAGAAAGAAUUUGAUCAGCCACUCUCUCUCUCUCUCUCUCUGACAACUUUUGAUGUUAUCAUUCUACAUUCGCAAGUUGUUUCUACAAAUUUUGCACUCCUCAAUGCUUGAUUUGAUUCAUGUAUGCCCAAUUUGGAUUACUAUGAUUUCUACGUUCAAAAGCAGUUUCUGCAAAUUUUGCACUUGCCAAUAGUGAUUUGAUUCAUGGGAUGGCUUUUAGUUGAGAUCUCUAAUGAAGGCAUGUUCUUUUGAGAAAAUCAACACUGGCUUGGGUUGGCAGAGGUGAAAGCAAGUAUUAUCCUUAGUUGUAUGAAUUUAAAACUUCUUGCAUCAAUGAAAAUGCUGCUAGACUGGUAAGAAAUUGAGAAUACUGUUAAAACAUUCAACAUAAAACCAAUUGAUAAUAAGUAGAAGAGCUUCUAGAAUAUAUAAGCAUAGUUUGAGUAACUUAAAUAGACAAAUAUGAGACAAAUCUAACAUGUAUGAACACAUGUUGAUAUGCCACUUUUCAAGGUGAAAAUUUGCAGGUACAAUAUCCUCAAUAUGUUGGCGGCUACAUCAAUGCAUGCCUCAUUGUUUUCUUCAUUCUAUGUAGGGUGAACAUAGUUCGGUUUGGUUCAGUUUAGGAGGAAAUUCAAUGACUAAAUCACUAUUUACGGUUCCAUGAAAUUUGAAACUAAACCAAAUAUGGAAUAUCUUGACGGUUUGGUUCGGUUCAUUUUGGAACCAUGGUUUCUAGAAAUUUGUCACCACAUGCUUAAAAAUAUUGCUCCCAACCUACUCAAACAUUGUCAUAAUUUUUAAACAAAGUGUUUAGAGGGAAAUUUUUUGGGGCGUGUGCCAUAUGCUCUAGUUAUGACAUCUGUAGUAUUCGGUUAUAACUUAUUGUAGUAUUAGUUAUGACUUAAUUAUGAUUGAUCAUGAUGUAAGUUAUGACUCAUUGAGAUGUUGGUUAUGUUAUGAUCCAAAAGCUAUUUGAUUGUACUU